UACGUAGGGUGCGAGCGUUAAUCGGAAUUACUGGGCGUAAAGCGUGCGCAGGCGGCGCGUUAAGACAGGUGUGAAAGCCCCGAGCUUAACUUGGGAAUUGCGCUUGUGACUGGCGUGCUGGAGUGUGGCAGAGGGAGGUGGAAUUCCACGUGUAGCAGUGAAAUGCGUAGAGAUGUGGAGGAACACCGAUGGCGAAGGCAGCCUCCUGGGCCAGCACUGACGCUCAUGCACGGAAAGCGUGGGGAGCAAACACGG
rnacentral:rRNA from 1 species